AAGAACCUUUCCCAAGGCUUGACAUAUACCGGAAAGCAUCAGAGAUGGUGCCCCCCUUGUGGUCGGUAUACAGGUGGUGCAUGGCUGUCGUCAGCUCGUGUCGUGAGAUGUUGGGUUAAGUCCCGCAACGAGCGCAACCCUUGUUCUGUGUUGCCAGCAUGCCCUUCGGGGUGAUGGGGACUCACAGGAGACUGCCGGGG
rnacentral:rRNA from 1 species